AUUGAACGCUGGCGUCAGGCCUAACACAUGCAAGUCGAGCGGGGUUUUCGGACCUAGCGGCGGACGGGUGAGUAAUGCGUAGGAAGCUGCCCGAUAGAGGGGGAUACCAGUUGGAAACGACUGUUAAUACCGCAUAAUUUCUACGGACCAAAGUGUGGGACCUUCGGGCCACAUGCUAUCUGAUGCGCCUACGUGGGAUUAGCUAGUUGGUGAGGUAAUGGAUCACCAAGGCGACGAUCUCUAGCUGGUUUGAGAGGAUGAUCAGCCACACUGGAACUGCGACACGGGCCAGACUCCUACGGGAGGCAGCAGUGGGGAAUAUUGGACAAUGGGCGCAAGACUGAUCCAGCCAUGCCGCGUGUGUGAAGAAGGCCUUCGGGUUGUAAAGCACUUUCAGCGAGGAGGAAGGGUGGUGUGUUAAUAGCACAUCAUUUUGACGUUACUCGCAGAAGAAGCACCGGCUAACUCUGUGCCAGCAGCCGCGGUAAGAC
rnacentral:rRNA from 1 species